UUUCCUACAAUUCAGCUGAGUAUAUGCUCUCUAUGAACUACUUUCACAAACGCAGUGCAGGUGUGCUGACCCCUGCGAUUUCUCCAAAUGCGGGAAACUCGACUGCAUAAUUUGUGGUAGUGGGGGACUGCGUUCGCGCUCUCCCCUG
rnacentral:snRNA from 1 species